rnacentral:tRNA from 1 species
AAGAAGGUGACAGAGCGGCUAUGUGACUGGCUUGAAACCAGUUUAUGGGGGUUCAACUCCCUCCUUUCUCG